rnacentral:misc_RNA from 1 species
ACAAAUCGAUUAUGAUGUUUCAUCAUAAUUAUAUAAGCCCGGGUCGCUAGGCCCGUUGGUAUAUAAAAGAGUGUUUGUAUGACUGUUUAUUACAAUGAAAAAUA